rnacentral:rRNA from 1 species
UACGGGAGGCAGCAGUGGGGAAUAUUGCACAAUGGGCGCAAGCCUGAUGCAGCCAUGCCGCGUGUAUGAAGAAGGCCUUCGGGUUGUAAAGUACUUUCAGUCGUGAGGAAGGUGUUAAGGUUAAUAACCUUAGCAAUUGACGUUAGCGACAGAAGAAGCACCGGCUAACUCCGUGCCAGCAGCCGCGGUAAUACGGAGGGUGCGAGCGUUAAUCGGAAUUACUGGGCGUAAAGGGCACGCAGGCGGUUAAUUAAGUUGGAUGUGAAAUCCCCGGGCUUAACCUGGGAAGUGGCAUUCAAGACUGGUUAGCUAGAGUCUUGUAGAGGGGGUAGAAUUCCAUGUGUAGCGGUGAAAUGCGUAGAGAUGUGGAGGAAUACCGGUGGCGAAGGCGGCCCCUGGACAAAGACUGACGCUCAUGUGCGAAAGCGUGGGGAGCAAACAGGAUUAGAUACC